GGUAGCAAUGCUGGUGAGUAAAGUGGCGACCGGGUGAGUAACACGUGGAUAACCUACCUUCGAGCGGGGAAUAACCCUGGGAAACCGGAGCUAAUACCGCAUAACAUCCUGGAGCGAUGGCGCUGGGAUUGAAACCUGGAAACGGGACUUGAAGAGGGGUCCGCGGCUGAUUAGCUAGUUGGUGAGGUAACGGCCCACCAAGGCUUUGAUCGGUAGCCGGCCUGAGAGGGCGGACGGCCACACUGGAACUGAAACACGGUCCAGACUCCUACGGGAGGCAGCAGUGGGGAAUUUUGCGCAAUGGGGGAAACCCUGACGCAGCAACGCCGCGUGGACGAUGAAGCAUCUUGGUGUGUAAAGUCCUUUCGGCAGGGACGAAAACGAGCAAUCGUUUGACGGUACCUGAAGAAGAAGCCCCGGCUAACUCCGUGCCAGCAGCCGCGGUAAUACGGGGGGGCGAGCGUUGUUCGGAAUUAUUGGGUGUAAAGGGUGCGUAGGCGGUGCGGUAAGUCUGGUGUGAAACCUCCAGGCUCAACUUGGAGCUUGCAUCAGAAACUGCCGUGCUAGAGUGUGGGAGAGGAGAGUGGAAUUCCCGGUGUAGCGGUGAAAUGCGUAGAUAUCGGGAGGAACAUCGGUGGCGAAGGCGGCUCUCUGGACCACAACUGACGCUGA
rnacentral:rRNA from 1 species